rnacentral:misc_RNA from 1 species
UUGUACCCUCAAGCUUUGCUUGGUGUUGGGUGUUUGUCCCGCGCUCUUUUGCGCAAGACUCGCCUUAAAUCAAUUGGCAGCCGGCAUGUUAGCCUGGAGCGCAGCACAUUUUGCGCCCCUUGCUUGCUUGUGUUGGCCCCCAUCAAGUCCAUAUAUUUGCUCUUGACCUCGGAUCAGGUAGGGAUACCCGCUGAACUUAA